rnacentral:lncRNA from 1 species
UCUCUGUAAUGUUUUCCAUCAUAAAAAGCAUACACCAGUUCUUACUGCAUGUUGCAUAAUAUCAACCAUUUCAAGCAAUAAAUCCAUCUUACCUUAUCUUUCCCAAGGUCUCUGUAAAGGCCCUUUAAAUACAUAAAGCAAAAUAUUGUAACCGUGCCUCUGAAAUAGUGUUAGAUUUUUGCCUGAAAGUCCAGGUGAUUGUAAUAAUUAGCAUCAGUACAGCACUUGCCAAGAUGCUGAGGCAGCUGAUGACUUUAAUGAGUUCUUAUGUUCUGCUACAGAGGAUAUGUAGUUUGCUACAACUAGUGGAUAUCACUCACCAGUUCUGUGAAGAUGGCAGCCUUCUUAUAAAUGAAUGUUGCAUUGCAAAAUUGUUUCAAAGCUGAACUGUGAAAAAUUGAUCCUGAUGCCACCAACAUCAAAUGUGUUUCCACGUCAAUGUUGAUUAAAAGCUCUGUUCCUUCUAAAAUGGCGGCCAUAAUGCACCCUGGCAUCCUCCCAAGUGUACUCUCCAGUGCAGACAUCAUAAGUGCCCCCAUAGGUAAAGGUGAAUGCCUUCCAAGUAUGAAUAUACUAUGCUAUUCAUCUAGAGCCUGGAUCAUUGAAAUAUAGAUGGAAAAACGUGCUAAGAUAUUAAUUGAGUAUCUUACUAAGCAGAGAACAUUUGAAACUCAAUACCUGAGACUGCUUAGAGAACGGCACCAUUUUGUGAUCAUGAAUUUGGAUUAUAAUGAACACAAACAAACUGACUAUGUACUGUAGGUAUCAACCUGAUCCAUUCUACUGCUAUCAUAUUAGCAAAAUGAAUAGCUGCAUUCAUGAAUAGAUACGUAUAGUAAUCCUUUUACCUAAUGGCAAUAAGCAAAUCAUUUCCUCCUUGUCCUUUGAAAUCUACUUUAUUUCUUUUCUGGAACAAUUAUGGUUUCAAAGCAACUUCUGCCUGUGUCUUUUAUACUGAUGACACUUCUCCACUUCUGUCUUCUGGCCACAGUCCUGGACAUUCAUCAUGCUGUAUGUAGAGACCAUUAGUGUAGCUGAUAACCCAGAUGCUUUUCCAUUUAAAACUGGCGUGCUUGUUUAGUUAGGCAAUCAUGGCAUUAUGAACUUACCAAGUAAUUCUGGCUCUGCAGGUACUAUUAUCUUCUUCAGGCCAUAGUUAUCUAAGAAGAACGGGCACCAUGGGUUCCUACAUAAGAAAGAGAUGUAAGCCCCAUGAAGGCAUACUUUGUUCAUAUCUGUAAAGAAAGCUAGGGAACACAUGCAACAGCUUUCCUGCCUACUCCACAACCUCCCCAUGUUUGACAGGGAAAUCUCUGGCAGAUAUGUAACCAUAUUU